rnacentral:rRNA from 1 species
GUGGGGAAUCUUGCGCAAUGGGCGAAAGCCUGACGCAGCCAUGCUGCGUGAAUGAUGAAGGUCUUAGGAUUGUAAAAUUCUUUCACCGGGGACGAUAAUGACGGUACCCGGAGAAGAAGCCCCGGCUAACUUCGUGCCAGCAGCCGCGGUAAUACGAAGGGGGCUAGCGUUGCUCGGAAUUACUGGGCGUAAAGGGCGCGUAGGCGGACAGUUUAGUCAGAGGUGAAAGCCCAGGGCUCAACCUUGGAAUUGCCUUUGAUACUGGCUGUAUUGAGUACGGGAGAGGUGAGUGGAACUCCGAGUGUAGAGGUGAAAUUCGUAGAUAUUCGGAAGAACACCAGUGGCGAAGGCGACUCACUGGCCCGUUACUGACGCUGAGGCGCGAAAGCGUGGGGAGCAAACAGGAUUAGAUACCCGAGUAGUCC